AUUGAACGCUGGCGGCGUGCUUAACACAUGCAAGUCGAUCAGUAACAGGUGUAGCAAUACAUGCUGACGAGAGGCGGACGGGUGAGUAAUGCUUGGGAAUCUGCCUAUUAGUGGGGGACAACCCGGGGAAACUCGGGCUAAUACCGCAUACGCUCUACGGAGGAAAGCCGGGACCGCAAGGCCUCACGCUGUUAGAUGAGCCUAUGUCCGAUUAGCUAGUUGGAGGGUAAUGGCCUACCAAGGCGACGAUCGGUAGCUGGUUUGAGAGAACGAUCAGCCACACUGGAACUGAGACACGGUCCAGACUCCUACGGGAGGCAGCAGUGGGGAAUAUUGGACAAUGGGCGCAAGCCUGAUCCAGCAA
rnacentral:rRNA from 1 species